UCUGUCCUCGUCGCUCCCCUACCAAUCGUCCGCGUUCCGUCCUUCUCGCUUGUUCGUGCUCAUUCUAGACUGGGUUCCCUGUCCCACAGACUGCCUCGCUCCCGACUCUCUCUUCGACUCGUCCUUUAGCUCCCGUCUCGUUCUUUCCAGUGGCCUCUUCCUUUCUUCCGACGCUCUGUCCUACUCCCACAAGACGAUGCACCGAAAGUCCCUCUUAAAAUUAGUGUUGGUCACCGGGGCUGGAGGUGGUGGUACCGGUGGUACAGGUAAAGCCGUCCACGGUGGUGGUGGCGCCUUGGAGCGGUGUGCGUGAGUGUUGGCGUGAGUGCGGGGGUGUAGGUGGGUGGACGAAUGGGUGCGGGACGGGGGUGGCACGGGUUCGAGGAGAGGGCAAGGAAUGACGGUAGUAGGAUAUCGACGGCGGUAGGCAGAACACGCUGGGAGAGGGGAAGAGCUUGGAGACAGAGACGGUCAUAUGGCGCCCGAGUCGGUACGGGGAUGUCUUAUGUCAUUUUUCUUCGCGAUAUUCUAACGGGUGUCGCGUUCGAUGCGCGGCUGACUUUAUCACAGGCUUAACCUCGUUUCGAUGGAGCGUUUUUUGGAAUAUCUUGUUUCUUCUUUUUGUUGUACGCUCUCGUGGAGUAGGGGAGACCGGGGGUCAAUGGGAACAAGUAAAAUAACUUAGAAAUGAGACAAAAUUGGAACAAAAUGGAGCGCAGUAUUGAAAAGAAGUACUGAAAUAUAAACUAUAUCGAGGAUCAUUGAAAUUUAACUAAAUAAAAUGUUUAAAAGCCGGGAGGUUGGAUAUCGUUAUUGGAAUUCUUAAUACGCUCUGAUCACAUCCGGUUAUAAAUUAAUUUUCACUGAUAAACUUCAUCAAUUGAUAACAACUAAUAAGCGUGUAAAGUGUACAAAGUACAUGAAAUAAUAUCUACACGAAUGUGAUGUACUAUUGCAUUAUGCACGUAUAAUAUAAUAUGCAUAAUAUACGUGAUGCGCAGGCACGUCACGAUGACGAUGACUACAACAAUGAUAACGAUAAUGACGAUGGCAGCAUCUGCACAGUUUGCAUAUAUUUUGCAUAUUUACAUGUAUCCUGCGUACAAGCGUAUUAAUAAAUUUGCUAAAUUAUAUCCCACAUUUUUGAAUAUUCGUAUUCCAAAUUACACACGACGAACACCAUAUAUCAUUUCUCAUCGAUAUUUAUUCUUCGUUGUUUAUUUACGACUGUUAGAUUGUUAGGUCGUUACAUGAUAUUGUUCUUUCAUUUUUUCCGAUCCAUUUGUCGUAGAUCUUUGAUAAUAUAUUUCAUUUAAUCUCUCGAGGGACGAAUUUUAAAUGGAUUUUGUUUGCUGUAAUUGAGUACGUAUAAAUCAAAGCAAUUUUUAUCUGUAAAUUGAUUUAAACACACAAAUAUACCGUCCUUCUUUAAUAUUAUGUAUUUGUUUAAUUUUAAAAGGUAUCUCGAUUCUAAAUAAUUUAAUUUUAAAUAUAAUUUUGUUAUAAAAGCAAACGUACGUGUCUAUGCCCCUCGAGAAGUUAAUCUUUUAGUUUCCACACAUUCUAUUUAUAAUACUCGUACCUGUGUACUCUGUACGCAGUUUCUAAUUUUUCACAUUUUAUUAUAAUCUCGACUCGCUACCUUAUUUUUUUGCUGGAUCGUGCUAAGCAGUUUUCGAGGUAAGGUGGAUUUAAACGGUAGACCUCGUUCGCCCGGAAAAUUUUUGUGGAAUUUUUACCGUUCUUUUAUUGUAGUUGCCGAACCGAGCGGAGCAUAGUAAUUUUGGAGUUUAUUGGCGCGGAGGUAAUAUAUUCUUUAUAGUUUAGCGGUGAAACGGUAAUUGGGUUAGAGUAUAGAUUUUAGUGAGUUGAGUCGAAUAUUCUAACGGAACGGAACCUUUUAGUAUAUUGCAGUGUUUUUCUUUUUUUUUACUUUUUUCAUUUGCUUCGCGUACGAACAUUUAUCCACCAAAUAAAUGUAGUUUCGUGACGCGAUAAAUGUUUGUCGUCGCAUAACUUUUCAGUAUCAAUAAAUUACAAUGUGUUGGUCAUUCGUCGCUGCAAUAUUGCAAAUGUAGACACAAAAAAGCGAGCGAAAAAAAAUACACGAUUCAAUUUUAACAGGUGUAUAACAAAUUAAUGCAGUAAUUUCAGCGUUUUAAAUUACACGUCGCGUAUCGAGCAUCGGAAAAAAGCUAUCGGGAACGAAUAUUUCCUCACGUUUUAUUCGUCGAUGUUAAACUUUGCACGCAUUACUUGCACGCCAACAAAAUCCAGAAUUAGUAUUCCUCGCCUUUUAUAACCGGCACAGUAAAAUGUAAUACUUUCGCGAAAAAAAAAAAAACUUUCCGAAAUAAUUGGGUCACCGUCGGACCUUGAUACUUUAUUUUUCAGGUUCCCUCCGGGUAUUACACCAGCGAAGUAUAAUUUAUUAAACAUCCGAUUUUCCUGACCUCGUGGUCCGGUUACAAUUUUCCCUCGAUAUUCAGUUUCGAAGAUUUUUCGUGGAGCGUGCGUCACCUUCACUUCCAUCAAAACGAUUUGUUCCGAUCUCCUAGCUUCUUUUUUAGUACAAAAUUAAUAGACGCAAUCGACCUAAGAAUAUACCGAGCAAAUCUUUUCUCCGAACAACGCCUCUCGCUACCAUUGUUCUAAAAGCGUUCGAGUUAAUCGCGGCGCGAUACUAGAUUGCAAACACGAUGCACAAUAUUCGCGCACUUAAUUCGCCACGGAAACACCGCCGAUUUCGAAACGCAUUUCCACGCGUUACAUUAUUCAUGGGCGGUAAUGACAUACUGCGAAUAUUAUACGUAGCGCGUACACGGUAAAACUAUCAAUUGUCCCUGAUUCAAUGCGAUUCAUUUCGGUCCCGUUGGUGUUUCGCCUCGUGUACCCAACGUUUUCUCCACCUUCUUCUCUUCUCUCUCUUCCUUUGUUCGUUUCGUUGAUUUCUCUGUCGAACGAAACGGCUCCGAAAGUUUCGCCGUUAGAAGAGAAAAGUUAUCACGCUCGACGGAUUUUCAAACUUCGUCCCUCGGAGCGCUAAUCGAGCCGACCAUUUCUGGAUGAAAGAGGAAGUGGAUUCCGCAGCCCGCGGCCCUCCAGAUGCAUCGUCUCCGAGAUCCGCCGACACCGCCGCAGACUCGAUUAUCACAAUGAAAUUUAAUUGGCACGCUACACCGCGGCGAAUUGGAACCGCGAAUUUAAGCAGCCCGAUUUCCCUCCAGGGGCUGCUUUUCCGAGGAUCAUGUUUUGUUUCGUUUCGAAUAUAUAUAUAUACGUCCUAGCUUAGGUGGUGUAUCUCAGGCGUACAAAUUAAUUCUGCGCCUUUACAUUCAAUCGUUCGUAACUGCAGUUCUAGAGUUUAGCUCACUUUGACGCCUUAUUGCUUGUUUGAAAGUGCGUGGUUUCCAGAAAAACAUGUUUCACGUUUUCUAUAACUGUAUAUUGUCUAGAUGCGGAGUUUAUGUAUAUCUGCUACAAUCUAUAAUACUUUGAAUUUUUAAUCGAGACUUAUUGCAAUUUAUUCUUAGAACUGUAAAACAUCCUUUAAGUACAAUGAAAAGCAUUCAACGUUUUAAGGUUUCAAAGUAGUCUAACCUGUCGUCAGGUGUAUUAUUUCUCAAUUGGACCUUUCUCCUGUGUUUUGUAAUUUAACCCAAAGAUAAUUUCACUCAAAGACACGACGCACCUGUAUCGAUCAAAAACAACCUCUAAAACUAACCCCUUAAAAUAUUCGUUGCUGUUUAUUCGAAAUACACGAAGAACAUGGUUAAACAUCAUGAUUUAUGUUU